GUUCAUUUGGGUAUUGUUGUUUGGGUAGAUGGGAUGCUAUCUAUUUUCAUUUUUGCCAAAUGAGACUAUAAGCCUUGAGUGUGAUGAAAGAGAUGAUAGAAAUGUAAGUACAAUAAAUUAGCUGUAUAUUAUCAGAGAGAGUAAUAAUAAAAAAAGAAAGUCAUAGAGCUGAAAAACAGACCUGUUUCAACAAAUUUAGCUGAGAAUGCUGAAGCGCACACAUGGAAAAAGUCCCUGUGACACAACUAAAUUAAAAUCAUCUCAUUGCACACACCCUGAAUCUGAACCAUUAGAAAACACUGGAUUAUUUUCAGACCCCAGUAUGUGCUAGAAGGAAAGCUUGCUUGUGUGAUAUGAUAUUGUGACCCUAAAAUCUUAAAGUUGGUUACAUUUUUUCCUAAAAAUUUUGAGGCCUUGAAGUGCAAUAUUAAUCUUUCUGCUAUGCUAAGUGAAAAAAAAGACUUCAUUUAUUUAUUAUAAAUUGAAUAUAGUUGGUGUGAAUCAGAGGAGGAGAAAAUAUAGUUUAUUAAUUCUGAGGGUGUUUAAUCAAUUUCAUAUUCCUC
rnacentral:lncRNA from 1 species